GUCACAUAGGCCUGAGCCUCACAAAACGUCAGGAAAUGAAGCUGAGCCACAGAACCAACACAGAGGGACGGACGGCCUGGGGCUAUUGAGGAAAAAUAGGGAGUAGCUGGCUGAAGCCCAGAUCCUGGCCUCUCUGCAUAGCCCUAGGCUUUGGCCUUUUCCUGUCUGAGCACUUUUGGCUGACCUGCCUCCAAGCUGGACCACCACUGGCCAGCUCUCAUGAGCUCCAGGAGUUGUAUGCUGUGACUAUCCAGGAGCAAGCCUGCUCCGCGGUGGAGACGUUCAGACCCAGAAAAGCUCUGGGGAGAAUUAGUAGCAAUACUGUGAGGACACAUUCUGAGGUUGUAUCCUCAGCCUGGGAAGCAGGGCUGAGGGGACAGCUGUAGAUGAGCAGUCAGCAUUGCAGCUUCAUCAGCUAAAAGUGAUUUCACACAAAAUAAUGUGUCAGAGAUAAUUGCUCCUGGGAACAGAUCCCAAUUCCAGCCCGCAAUCAAAGAGCAGGUCAUGGCUGCCACUGGGUUUGCACCCACCUGAGGUCAGGAUGAAGGUUCCGGAAGCAGAGAGACAGGUCCUGCUGCUACAAUCCUCCCCUGCACUAAAGGGCUUCCUCAAGAAAGUCCAGAUCACAAGAUCAGAGAUGAAGGAGUGGCUGAGAGAGAGAGAGAGGAAGCCGUAACAGGGAAAAAACAGCGGCAUGCAUGGCUGUGGAGCUGGAGCCCACAGGAAGGAAGUGUGGCGGACAGGAGGGGCUACUAUACUCAAGAAGGGGAGCCAGGAGCCGGUGCCACAGCUCUGGAGGGCAGGCCAACACUGGCCACACCCAUGAAGGCUGAGUCCCA
rnacentral:lncRNA from 1 species